UGGUUAAAGUUUGGUUUGACUAAUCGUGGUGCAGUGUUUUUGAGGCGCUGAGUUCCCACAGAAACUCAAAAAAACCCACAAAAACGCAAGAUUUUUUACUGUAAAAACAAAGGUCCACUCGACUUUCAAUGUCCCAUAAUGCACUGCUCUCUGAUCUCUGGACUCAUGUUUCCUCGUCACACACAGACCUGGAGUUGUUUUGUUUCAUUCUCACAUGUUUAACACACAAACCUGCAGAUUUAGGCUGAGUUCUUCUCUCAAACUGAAAACACUCUGUUCCACCUUGUGAUGUCAUCGUGUGGUGAUACAGGAAGUGCUCCACUGUGUUUUUAAACUCCACCUUCACUAGAAUCAUUUGGAUCAUUUCAGUCCUGGAGUUGCCACUUAUCUCGACUGAACUAAAGGUAAAAGGAGCUGUUAACAUAAAAAACUAACACUUGAUGACAUCACAAGGUGGAACAGAGCAUUUUGAGCUUUGUAAAUGUUACAGAUUAAUAAUAAAGUGUGAGUCAAACAUGUGAAUGAAACAAAACCCAACUGCAGUGUUUGUGAGGACAUUAGACGUGCAGCAGGGGUCAGUCUGUGUCUCAGGUGUGUGACAGUAAAACGGCCCCUCGUCCCGGUUUAUACCACACUCCUGUGAUUCUGUACUGAAGAAGUUGGCCUCCAGAUGGCGCUGUCAUCCUGCCUCCAGCGGUAGGAAAACGGUAUCAAAACCUGUUUAAAUCAGCUGAGCAGUCAUGUCACAGCAGCAUCGCGCGACCACCCUGCUAGUGGGGGUCCAGACCGGCCUGAGCCGCUUCGGGGCCACAUUGAACAAAAGACGUUUACAGCAAUUUGAACAAAAAUAAAAUAAAUAUUGGUACUUCGAUGUCUGGACUGAGCGUAAACGUGUCACGUUUGUUUAUCCUCUGCCCAGACGUGUCUCUGCCUCCUCCUGACCUCCUCCUGACCUCCUCUUGACCUCCUCCUGACCUCCUCCUGACCUCCUCUUGACCUCCUCCUGACCUCCUCCUGACCUCCUCUUGACCUCUCAAAGCACUGACCUUUUCAAUGUUUACUUCUGUUUUGAGAGUUCUGAGGCUGCACUGAAGACCGACAUCUGACCAGUGUGAGGUCAGAGGAGCAGAGGGACCUCAGUGUCAGACUGACAUCUGACCAGUGUGAGGUCAGAGGAGCAGAAGGAC
ensembl:lncRNA